rnacentral:tRNA from 1 species
UCUCAGGGUAGCCUAGUGGACAUGGCAUCUGCCCGGUAAGCGGAGCACAGUGGGUUCGAUUCCCAUCCCUGGAC